rnacentral:tRNA from 1 species
UAGCUCAGUUGGUCAGAGCAUGGUGCUAAUAAUGCCAAGGUUAUGGGUUUGAUUCCCAU